rnacentral:lncRNA from 1 species
UUCAUUAAGCAGAAGAAAUGUAGUAAAAUAUCUGAAAUGUGAAUCUAAUACAACUGUUUAAGACUUAAUCACCCAGAACUGGUGUCACAGUACCACCGACGAUCUAAGAGUUCUAAAUACAAAGUCUGAAAAUAAAGAUACGCUGUUUCUGAAUCAAAGAAAUGAAAUAGGAAAUCAUGGAUAGAGGAGACUCCAGGGCCUGCGGACACAUGCAGGUCUACCUUGGAUAUCCGCGUGGACUGAUGAUAGACACCCAAAUGCUAUGGUCCGAGAUCUGCUCCAGGAUCUGCACAUAGUGCAGAGUGUAGUAUCAGUAGAACCGACUCCAUGUGCUAGUAAGUGCCUAGACUAACAUCAGCGAAGUAGGACGAGGCUAGGACCAGACUACCAAAUGAACCUGUGCAGUUAUAUAAUAUACAGUGGAAAAUAAAAUAGAAAUAAAUAAGUGAAGAUGGGAUGGGGUACAUGUUGCGGGGGUGUAUCAGUAUCAACAGUAAAUCGAGAGUAACGGCAUAAGAACAACUUAGAAUUCACGGCAAAACAAUAGGAAACUUAUAUCCAAUCUAUAAACACUUUGUAUCAAUAAUUGUUGCGGCGCGCAACCCGAUCCCAAUAUAUUACAACACUGUUGCGGCGUGCAACCCAAUCCCAAUAUAUAACAACACUGUUGCGGCGUGCAACCCGAUCCAUAUCAUUCAUCACUGUUGCGGUGCGCAACCCGACCCACAUAUAUCAUUGUUGCGGCGUGCAACCCGAUCCACAUAUAUCAUUGUUGCGGCGUGCAACCCGACCCACAUAUAUCAUUGUUGCGGCAUGCAACCCGAUCCACAUAUAAUAUUGUUGCAGCGUGCAACCCGAUCCACAUAUAAUAUUUUUGCGGGCUGCAACCCGAUCCACAUAUAUAAGCAACACCAAUUAUAACAAGAGUCCAGGCAAGGGAUCAAUAAAGAACUACACUAUCCCGGCAAGGGAAUUGACAGUAUCAGUAAAUACGUCCCGAUAAGGGAGAAACAACUAUAACCUAACUUGUUCCAACAUCUAACUACCUUAGCUAACACCAAUACUCAAUCAUAAGUAAUUCUACAAGAACAAUCAUAAUCCUUGCUCAAUACAGAGAACCAUCAAUUUAAGCAUCCGUAGUAUUAUUCAAGAACACAAUAAAUCACAAUUUAAGACUCGCGCUCAUGCUCGACACCAACGUAUAGAUACUCGUCACCAUGACUAUACAUCGUAUUCAACAAGAAACAAGUAGCAAAUAGGAAACAACUCCUAAUCCCUCAAGCUAAGGUUAGACCAAACACUUAACUCGAUGCCACAAACACAAUUCACGUCUCAAUUAUCGCUUUACCCCUUGAUUCCACCACCAAUUUGCUCGUAUCUAGCCACACGUUACUUUUUUAGAUCAAUAAAUGCUAAAUGAAUCAAUUCCAAUGCAUGAACACUGUCACACCUCCUUUUUACCUACACCCCGAUAAGGGUGUAAGAGAGUUUUUUCCAAUUAAAGUGACAAUCGAAACGGGAUUUAUUUCAAUUAAAAUUCAGAGUCGCCACUUGGGAUAAUUUUAUGGUGUCCCAAGUUACCGGUUCAAAUACUGAAUCGAGGAAAAGAUUGACUAUGUAUUAUAGUCCGCGAACCAGAAAUUCGGGUAAGGAAUUCUGUUAACUCGGGAGAAGGUGUUAGGCAUUCCCGAGUUCCGUGGUUCUAGCACGGUCACUCAACUGUUAAAAUUGGCUCAAUUAUCUGAUUUUAGAACACUUCUAAACCUAUGUGCAUUUUUAACUUUAAAACCGCUUUAAUUAAUUAUAAGGAAGCUUGCAACGUCAUUUAAAAUACGUCUUGAACCACGUCACAUAAAUGCACCCGCAGUCCGCAACACAUUUUAUCUAACGUUAUUGUGAUUUGGAUUUGAGUCACAUAAAUGCGCACCCGAGUUUAGGAAGGUAAAUUAUUUAAUAGCGCGCCUACAUCAACUAUGCAUUUUCAACUUUGUAAGGGCUAUGGAAAUUCAACUAAAUGGCACGCCUCGAUUUCUAAAUAUUUGAACAUUAAUCGAAUAAGGGCCAUAGGUUCUGGGAUUUUAUUUGGCAUGGCACGCCUCAAUUUAUUUCAAAAGAAUGUAUUCAACUAAAGCAAACCACAUAUGUUUAUAAGUAAUAAGUGACAUGAACUCAUAAAUAAGCAUAUUAGCUACAUGGUACUAAUCUGGAAUGAACUUGCAUUAAUAGCAACAACUGCCCACCACUUUGCAAACUCCAUGGAGUGUGAACUAGCUUAGACCAGACUGUGCAAGCCACUUGAAUAAUAUGAAUGUUUUGGCACUAUAACAUCAUUUAACAUGUAGAAGACCUCACAACUAUGUUUAAGAGAUUAUUUAACCUAUAUUGUGCUUAUAUAAAGUGACAAUGUAAAAGAAAUUUGACUUUAUUAUCGUCUGUAUGCCCAUGUCAAUUGCAAUUUGCCAAGUUAUACCCAAAAAUGGUCACUUGUACAGCUUUGUUCCUUGAUAUACAACAACGCACAUAUUCAAUCAAAUGUUGCUAAUUCAAAUCCUAGUCUCCAGAAUAAAGCACAACAAUCCACUAGAGAACUAAAUUAGUACCUCAGUGCAAAGUAUUGACAGAGAAUCGAUACUUCACUUCACGAAUCAGAACAACAAUGACAACAAAAGUUUCAUUCAAUGCAGAAAUGCAGAUCCAGUUUAUAUCAAAUAUACACGCCUUUUUAUUGCUAUUUCAAUAUGAUAACAAUCUAAUUAGAGGUCUACGGACAUAACGGAAAUAGAUCAACACACAAAAGUGAACUUGAAGAUUCAACAAACAUGAAGAAUUUUAAUUGAAGAUCAAAGGAAUUAAGGUUUUUCACCUGAUGAAGAAGCAUAACAAGUUAUUGACGGAACCUCGAACCGGCAAACUCGACUCAAAUGAAACUCCGUCGGUUGCAAAUUGAAAACUCGCCGAUGACAAAAUCUAGCCGAGUCAACCAAAUGAACGUACGAGCAAGAAAAUCUUAGAGGCAGUCAAAGCUACUGGAUCUCGUCAUUUCCGGCAAUGUAACAGUGAAAAGAGAGAGAGAAAAGAUGAGAAACGAGAAUGGCGUGAUAGCAGUUCGCCGGAUUUAAUGGAGGGUCACCGGAUUUAACCAAACACUCGACCAGAUCUGAAACUCAUCGCACAUGGAGGAGAGGAGAGGACGGAAGCCAUGAAGCUUCGUUGGUCGUCGACAAGUUGACAGCGGCGAUGGUUCCUGGCAGAAGAAGAAGAAGCCUAGCUUUUUCUAGGUUCUUUGGAGGAAGAAGAAGCUUCAGUGGUUUUAUGAGGGUGAAGCUUCAUUUAUGGCUGUUGCGUGGUGAAAGGAGGUCCGGCGAUGAAGUUUUGGUGGUGAGGGUGCGGCUAGUAUGGAGAUGGAGCUAGGUUCUAGGGUUUUCUGGAGUUAAAUCUUCAUGAAGAAGAUGAAGGAGCUCCAUUUUGGCUGAUGAUGUUUCCCAAAAACGGUCCUUCUUUUCUUUGUAAACUUUUUAGCUUUUCUUUUAUUUUCCCAAG